GCCCAGAUGAGCACCAGUAGUCUGGUGUGCGGGUUUCAAACCCGUAGCAGAGGAGAAUCUGCGUGGUUCGAUUCCACCUCCGGGGCG